CAUUGAAACAGUUGCCACAUCAUAGAAGGCCACCAGUUUGGUCCAGCACAGCUUGCCCUAGGUGAAGCUGUGCUGGUUGUUCUAAUUUUCCACGUCUUAGCUUCCAAGAGGACUUGCUCUAUGAUAUUCUUCUCCAGCAGAGAGAUGAGGCUGACAGGUCAGUUGUCUGGCUCAUUCUUUCUACUCUUCUUAAAAAUGGUGAAAUGGAAUCAUGGUGGAUAGACAUUGGCUGGCUGCCACACUCCCGCCCAGCUGCUCUCUUUCUCCCUCUCCUCAGCAGGACAGGGAGAGAAAAUAAGAUGAAAAGCUCAUGGAUCAAGGUAAAGACAGGAAGAUCACCCAUCAGUUACCAUCAAGGGCAAAACAGACUUGACCCAGAGAGAGCAAAUUUAAUGUAUUGCCAACUAGAUAGAACUGGGCAGUAAAACUCAAAGACAAAAAUUAAAACAUCUUCCUCCCAGCUUC